CGGGUGUAUCCGUGAGGGUGUUUCCAGAAGAGAUGAACAUUUGAACGGGCAGAAGGAGUAGCAGAGAUGGCUCUUGCCAGUGUGAGUGGGCACCAACCCAUCCGGGGAGGCUGUGGAUCGGACAAAAAGCCGAGGAAGGAUGAAGAAACGAAGGCCUGCAGAGCUCAAGUCCCCUGCCCAGGGUUAAACCGUAUCGAUCUCAUUUCAGUCUGGACUGUCUCCUAAAGAAUUCCUGCUGCUGGGUCACCGUUAGUCACUCACUGCCCUUCCAGGCCCAUUUACUGAUAACCCCCCAGUUCCUCCAGUCUCCCCCCAACCCCAACAACCUUGGGGGCCACGUCCACCUUCUGGUUCCUUACACAUACUGAAUAGGGGCUGCUUUCUGCCCCCUUCCUGCAAUCUGGGCCAAAACAUGGAGGUUGGCCAGCGGUCCUGCCAGGCGCGGCCUCAGUGCGACCGGGGACCCCCGGGCGCCCGGGCUCCCACGGCCCUCCAGGCGAGCGACGGUGCCUCACCUUCUUGAAGUCGGCGGUGAAGGAGACGAGGGUGCCGUCGGGCUUGCGCAGCUCGAGGCUGAUGCUG